AUUGAACGCUGGCGGCAGGCCUAACACAUGCAAGUCGAGCGGAUGAAGGGAGCUUGCUCCUGGAUUCAGCGGCGGACGGGUGAGUAAUGCCUAGGAUUCUGCCUGGUAGUGGGAGAUAACGUCCGGAAACGGGCGCUAAUACCGCAUACGUCCUGAGGGAGAAAGUGGGGGAUCUUCGGACCUCACGCUAUCAGAUGAGCCUAGGUCGGAUUAGCUAGUUGGUGGGGUAAAGGCCUACCAAGGCGACGAUCCGUAACUGGUCUGAGAGGAUGAUCAGUCACACUGGAACUGAGACACGGUCCAGACUCCUACGGGAGGCAGCAGUGGGGAAUAUUGGACAAUGGGCGAAAGCCUGAUCCAGCCAUGCCGCGUGUGUGAAGAAGGUCUUCGGAUUGUAAAGCACUUUAAGUUGGGAGGAAGGGCAGUAAGUUAAUACCUUGCUGUUUUGACGUUACCAACAGAAUAAGCACCGGCUAACUUCGUG
rnacentral:rRNA from 1 species